UGGGAAGUGCUCAUUAUCAUGCGUGCAGGUGAGAUCAAAGGGUGCAGCGUGGGGGAGGGGACAGCAGUCGCUAAUUGAGAGGACAGAGACAGCAGAUGGGAGCAGCACAAGCCCGAGCAACAAGUUUUGAGUGGUCGGGCAGUCGUAAUUGAGAGGGCAGAGAGAGCUGGGAGCAGCAGAAGUCCGAGGCAGAUUUUGCGAGAGCGAAGUUAUUACAAGAGGAUGGGGCGUCAACACACAAGCCCAAAG